rnacentral:misc_RNA from 1 species
UUAACUUAUUUAUAAGCUACUCAGAGAUGCCAAAAAAACAAGAGUUUGGAUUCCUCCGGCGGUCCGCUCCCUGAGGAGCCUCCCGCCGAAGCAACUUUUCAGUACGUUCACAAAGGGUUGGGAGUUUUGCAACUCUGUAAUGAUCCCUCCGCUGGUUCACCAACGGAGA